rnacentral:tRNA from 2 species
GCGGGAAUGGCGAAAUUGGCAGACGCGCUGGAUUUAGGUUCCAGUGCCGCGAGGCGUGGGGGUUCAAGUCCUCUUUCCCGCACCA